rnacentral:misc_RNA from 1 species
GAUGAAGAACGCAGCGAAAUGCGAUAAGUAGUGUGAAUUGCAGAAUUCAGUGAAUCAUCGAAUCUUUGAACGCACAUUGCGCCCCUUGGUAUUCCAUGGGGCAUGCCUGUUCGAGCGUCAUUUGUACCUUCAAGCUCUGCUUGGUGUUGGGUGUUUGUCUCGCCUCUGCGUGUAGACUCGCCUCAAAAUAAUUGGCAGCCGGCGUAUUGAUUUCGGAGCGCAGUACAUCUCGCGCUUUGCACUCAUAACGACGACGUCCAAAAGUACAUUUUUACACUCUUGACCUCGGAUCAGGUAGGAAUACCCGCUGAACUUAAGCAUAUCAAUAAGCGGAGGA